UUGCGGUUAAAAAGCUCGUAGUUGGAUCUCGGCGGGCAGGGGGUGGUUCGCUCUUCAGCGCUACUGCCCCGCUUUGCCCGUGUGAUUGGCGGAGGUUUCGGGGUGCUCUUCGUUGAGUGACUCGGAGCGCCGUCAGGUUUACUUUGAAAAAAUUAGAGUGCUCAAAGCAGGCUUUUCACGCUUGAAUAUUCGUGCAUGGAAUAAUGGAAUAGGAACUCGUUUCUAUUUUGUUGGUUUUCGGAAAUCGAGUUAAUGAUUAACAGGGACAAUUGGGGGCAUUAGUAUUCAGACGACAGAGGUGAAAUUCUUGGACCGUCUGAAGACUGACUACUGCGAAAGCAUUUGCCAAGAGUGUUUUCAUUAAUCAAGAACGAAAGUUAGAGGUUCGAAGGCGAUCAGAUACCGCCCUAGUUCUAACCAUAAACGAUGCAGCUAGCGAUCUGCCGAGUUUUUUUUGUAGGCUCCGCAGGAAGCUUUCGGGAAACCAAAGCUUUUGGGUUCCGGGGGAAGUAUGGUUGCAAAGCUGAAACUUAAAGGAAUUGACGGAAGAGCACCACCAGGAGUGGAGCCUGCGGCUUAAUUUGACUCAACACGGGAAAUCUCACCAGGCCCGGACACUGGAAGGAUUGACAGACUGAGAGCUCUUUCUC
rnacentral:rRNA from 1 species